rnacentral:rRNA from 1 species
AACUCUGAUGCAGCAACGCCGCGUGAAGGAAGAAGGUCUUCGGAUCGUAAACUUCUGUCCAAAAGGAAGAAGGAAGUGACGGUACUUUUGGAGGAAGCCCCGGCUAACUACGUGCCAGCAGCCGCGGUAAUACGUAGGGGGCAAGCGUUAUCCGGAAUUAUUGGGCGUAAAGAGUGCGUAGGUGGUCACUUAAGCGCAGGGUUUAAGGCAAUGGCUCAACCAUUGUAUGCCCUGCGAACUGGGGGACUUGAGUGCAGGAGAGGAAAGUGGAAUUCCUAGUGUAGCGGUGAAAUGCGUAGAUAUUAGGAGGAACACCGGUGGCGAAGGCGACUUUCUGGACUGAAACUGACACUGAGGCACGAAAGCGUGGGGAGCAAACAGGAUUAGAUACCCUGGUAGUCCACGCCCGUAAAACGAUGAGCACCAGGUGUCGGGGUCGCAAGACCUCGGUGCCGCAGUUAAACGCAUUAGGUGCUCCGCCCUGGGGGAGUACGUUCGCAAGAAUAAACCUCAAAGGAUUGACGGGGACCGCACAAGCAGCGGAGCAUGUGGGUUUAUUUCGAAGCA